rnacentral:misc_RNA from 1 species
GAAAAACUUUACACCUUCUUCAACAUUUAUUUUGUUUUAAGGAAAAAUCAAAUAAAAACGUUCUUCAACAUCUCCUUUUCUUUAAUUACACUAAAAGAAUUGUACUGCACCUUCUCAGAUUUCUUUUUUAUUUUACCCUCUUCAUGAAGAUAGUUAACUAUCUGUUUACCCUCUUCAUGAAGAUAUUUUACCCUCUAUAUUUUGGCAGCCAUUAAAAAUCACAUUCUCUGUUUAUAAUCCUUCCGAGUUCUCCAAAUUGAGCGAGAAUAUGGCGAAGUCUAACGUGAUCCAUAUGUGGUGGGAUACGACUUAAGUAGCCAUGGUUUUGCCAGCAUUUUGAAAUACAGAUAACAAAUCUCUAACGUGAAUGCCUAUUUUCCUUUCUAAAAUGCAGUAUCCAUCAUUGCGAGUUGGUCAAAAUAGCCAGUUUCCUAUGUCAGGAAUUGGUCAGAAUGCUCAGUGAGUAAGAAAAAGAAGCUAGUGUCGUCGGCGAACAACUGGUACUCUCCGUUGGGAAGAAGAAGAAGACGGUGGUGUGUAAAAGAAGAAU